rnacentral:rRNA from 1 species
CCCUUAGAUGUCCUGGGCCGCACGCGCGCUACACUGAUGCAUUCAACGAGUAUUUCCUUGGCCGAGAGGCCUGGGCAAUCUUUUAAACCUGCAUCGUGAUAGGGAUAGAUUAUUGCAAUUAUUAAUCUUGAACGAGGAAUUCCUAGUAAACGCAAAUCAUCAAUUUGCAUUGAUUACGUCCCUGCCCUUUGUACACACCGCCCGUCGCACCUACCGAUUGAAUGGUCCGGUGAAAUCUCGGGAUUGUGGCCAGUUCACUUUAUUGGGAGUUGGCUGCGAGAACUUACUUAAACCUUAUCAUUUAGAGGAAGGUGAAGUCGUAACA